CGCACAGGCUCCGCGCCGGGCUCUCCAGCCGGGCAGGCGCACGAGGGACACCUGCGAACCUGGAGGUGGCGGAGGCUGCGAACCCGGCGGCGCGGCCAAACCUGCGCUGGCUGCCUGGGCCUCCUGGGCCAGGAGCUGGCGCUGGGGGCGGCGGCGGUGUGGGGCCUCCUGGACGUGUUGGCGGAGGUGGCUUCAGUCCCGCGGAGCCCAGGCUUCAGAUCUUCCAGCUCAUCCUUUCAUAUUAGUCAUGAGGAAUCUCAGUCCCGCAGAGCUAGGAAAGAGCAUAGGUCCCCUCAUCCCCAGGGAUGGUCAGCACGUUCCUUCCUGAGCCUUGGGCCCCUGCGAGAAGAAGAGGAGAGUGGAGAUCUUCAGCAGAAAGGAAGACAUGGUGCUGGUGGCUGGACCCUCCGUGGCCAUGCUUUCACCAGUUCUCGGGAUGCCCAUAGGGAUGGGUGAAGCCCGCCUGGCCUGUGGUGCUUCCCAGUGGCCGUCAUCUCACUAG
rnacentral:lncRNA from 1 species